UUGUCCCUAUGAUGUCAGCACUGGGCUCUGAAACUGCUGAGCGAUAACUGUGCCCCACUGUCUUGACAUGCAGUGGGACUGAGGGACCA